UACGUAGGGUGCGAGCGUUAAUCGGAAUUACUGGGCGUAAAGUGUGCGCAGGCGGCAGAGCAAGUCGAGUGUGAAAGCCCCGGGCUUAACUUGGGAAUUGCGCUCGAAACUACUUUGCUGGAGUGUGGCAGAGGAAGGUGGAAUUCCACGUGUAGAGGUGAAAUGCGUAGAGAUGUGGAGGAACACCAAUGGCGAAGGCAGCCUUCUGGGCCAACACUGACGCUCACGCACGAAAGCGUGGGGAGCAAACAGG
rnacentral:rRNA from 1 species